UACGUAGGGUGCGAGCGUUGUCCGGAAUUAUUGGGCGUAAAGGGCUCGUAGGCGGUUUGUCGCGUCGGGAGUGAAAACCUUGGGCUUAACUCAGGGCUUGCUUUCGAUACGGGCAGACUAGAGGUAUGCAGGGGAGAACGGAAUUCCUGGUGUAGCGGUGAAAUGCGUAGAGAUCGGGAAGAACAUCAGUGGCGAAGGCGGCCUGCUGGGCUGUUGCUGACGCUGAGGCGCGAAAGCUAGGGGAGCGAACAGG
rnacentral:rRNA from 1 species